rnacentral:lncRNA from 1 species
AUGUGUCAUGUCACCAUUUUUUCUAAAAAUAAUAAUUUUCCUUUCAAAAUACUUUGAACUCUAAAAUUAAUUCUACACCAGAGAUCAGGUAAGGGGGUUCAUUUGAUUCGGGGAGAAGGUGUUAGGCACUCCCCAAGUCCCGUGAAGAUCACGAUCGCGUGCUCGAUCUAGUUGGCUUUUAAAACAUUCAAAUUGAGGUGAAAAUCACAUAAAAGCAAACACACAUGAAGUUCGAGGUCGUUCCCACCUAAUGAAAGAAAAAUAAAAUAAAAUAAAAUAAGUCUUGCUAGCCUAUACUACGCCUCCAUUGAUGUUGCCGCGGCCUCCAAAUACAAGUACUUCGGGGCAUUCCCCGGAAUAAAAUAUACACAAGUCCUUCAAGGUAUUUUCCGGAUAUAUUUAACUAAGGAAAAACCUCUCGCCUUGAAACCAAAAGCAAAUGGAAAAUCCUAAGAUUGCCUACCCAUGUGUGGUUGGCCUAACAUGCUACUAGCGGCCAAAGUAGAAAUAAGAGAAUAAAAUGUGAUAAGAAAUAUGAAGGACGAAACCUACCCUUUUAAUCUCAAAUUCGCAACCCCUCGACCAUGUAUAGUACUUCUAAUUCAUAAAGAUAAAGUCCAAUAAAGGGACAAACAUCAAACGAUUGCAAUGAAGGAACAAGUAAAUGGCAGUAAACAAACAAAAGAGAAGAAGCCUGGGUUAAACAUCAAAGGAUGACCCUGCGAACAACAGAGAAACAUUUAUAUUUUUAAAAAAUUGAACAUGACAAAACAUUUAAUUUAAGCAAAAAUCACCUUCAACCUCACAUCCAUGAAACAUCCAAGUAAAUCACAAUGCAAAAGUGCCAAUAAACAAAGUGAGUUGACAGAACAUUUGAGAUGAUCUUAAAAUAAUAACUAACAUGGAUACCACACCCUUUCCCAAAAUGCACCCAACUUGAUUUAAUAACUCAUCAUCAAACUAACUAUUUGGGAAAACAACUCACAAAUUUAAACCAACUAGUUCCGUCUAAUCAUGGAAUCGAAUGAGAAGUUUUAGUCCACUGUAUGUGAAAAGGUAUAGAUCCAUCAAUUUGAUAGAGAAAUGAGUCACGUGUUAUAUGGAUCACUGGAAGGCAGGGACAGUGUUAUUUAAAACAAGGAACACUAGUUGACUCACUCAUAAACUACUACACCAAGUAACUUUGAGAAUUCUAAGAAAAGUUGUUGUUCUUUCAAUUACACUUGAAAAAAGUUUGCAGUGGGGAAAAUUUCACAACUUAGCUUCAACUUCUCAGGACAUAUAGUCAAUUAAGUGAUAAUUUUAGCGUCGAAAGUGAAAAGAGCGUGCCAGUAAACAUCACACUUGCCUCAAGAUAACUGAACCUAAUGAACUUGGCCUCAAGAAAACACUAACAAGAAGUAUGGAGUACGGUUUCAUCAAGAUUAGUUCAAAUACUUUGAUAUUAAUCUAUCACACUAAUUAAAGUAAGUAGGGAUCCAAAUAGUUCAUGCUCGUUUACCGUCUGAGAGAUUUCACCUGAAGAAUCUAAUGAACACACAAUAGACAUACAAAACAUGAUUCCAAGAAAUUCAGGGAGCUAUACAAAAAACUAGAUCAGUUAUUUCUAUUUCUUGAAGCCACGUAAUCAAUCCUUCAGUAGUAGGAGGCAAACACAUUCGAAGCUAAAAUAUACAUACAACACAAAAACAGAACAAAAUAUUCAACAACCAAUCAAUCAACAUUCAAAACCAGCAAAAGUUUGAGUCUAAUGACAUGCCAAUUUGAUCGACUUGUUCUAUACUCUGAUCCUAUUUCAAUCGGACACCAAACAGAAGCAAAAAGAGUAAGGAAAUGAACCUGAAUGUUGAGAGCUUUUGAUUGAAUUUGUUUGUAUGCAAUUACAAACUGACUUUUCAAAGGAGUUUUGAAAUGAACAAUCGAUGUAGCAGCAGCAGGAACCAAACCAGCAACUAAGAACUCGAAUGGCAAACUCGACUUCGCUCAAUCGAUCUCCAUGUCAAAACAGCAAAAACCAGAAGAAGAAACUAAAAUAUUUUUGGAAAUUUUCUGAUUUUUAAAUGAAAACAAGACUCGAACAAAACUUAAAUUCAAGCUAUUUUUUAUUUUUUCUUGUUUUUCUAGAAAAAGAA